CACGCAGGCGGUCUGCUAAGUUCGGAGUGACAGUCACCAGCUUAACUGGUGAAGGACUUUGAAAACUGGCGGACUUGAGAGCGAGAGAGGGACAUGGAAUUUCGGGUGGAGCAGUGAAAUGCGUAGAUAUCCGGAGGAACACCAAAGGCGAAGGCAGUGUCCUGGCUCGUAUCUGACGCUGAGGUGCGAAAGCUAGGGGAGCGAACGGGAUUAGAUACCCCGGUAGUCCUAGCCGUAAACGAUGACCACUAGGUGUGGGAGGUAUCGACCCCUUCCGUGCCGCAGUUAACACAGUAAGUGGUCCGCCUGGGGAUACGGUCGCAAGACUAAA
rnacentral:rRNA from 1 species